CUUCCUCUGACAGGUACCCAGA
rnacentral:miRNA from 1 species